rnacentral:piRNA from 1 species
UGGCAUCCUCGUGGAUAAAAUUGGGAUAUC